rnacentral:rRNA from 1 species
CUGGCGCGCGCUACCUGCAAGUCGAGCGAGAACCGGGGCUUCGGCCCCGGGGACAGCGGCGAACGGGUGAGUAACACGUGGAUAACCUGCCCUCGGCACCGGAAUAGCCCGAGGAAACUCGGAUUAAUGCCGGAUAGCCCCACAUCCCUGCGGGGAACGUGGGAAAAGGUAGCUUCGGCCUCUGGCCGGGGAUGGGUCCGCGGUGGAUUAGCUUGUUGGCGGGGUAACGGCCCACCAAGGCGACGAUCCAUAGCUGGUCUGAGAGGAUGAUCAGCCACACUGGGACUGAGACACGGCCCAGACUCCUACGGGAGGCAGCAGUAGGGAAUCUUGCGCAAUGGGCGAAAGCCUGACGCAGCGACGCCGCGUGCGGGAAGAAGGCCUUCGGGUUGUAAACCGCUUUCAGGAGGGACGAAGCCACUCGGGUUAAUAGCCCAGAGGGUGACGGUACCUCCAGAAGAAGCCCCGGCUAACUACGUGCCAGCAGCCGCGGUAAUACGUAGGGGGCAAGCGUUGUCCGGAUUUAUUGGGCGUAAAGAGCGUGUAGGCGGUCAGGUAGGUCGGUUGUGAAAACUGGAGGCUCAACCUUCAGAGGUCGACCGAAACCCCCUGGCUAGAGUCCGGGAGAGGAGAGUGGAAUUCCUGGUGUAGCGGUGAAAUGCGCAGAUAUCAGGAAGAACACCCGUGGCGAAAGCGGCUCUCUGGAACGGUACUGACGCUGAGACGCGAAAGCGUGGGGAGCGAACAGGAUUAGAUACCCUGGUAGUCCACGCCGUAAACGAUGGGCGCUAGGUGUGGGAGGUGUCGACUCCUUU